AUCUGAGUCUCGGUGUGCUUCCUUGAGGGUGUGGGGGGAGUCCUUCUGUAUUGGAGGGCUGUGAUCUACCCCUUUGCUGGGGGUUCAUAGCUGCAUUUUGGGGCUGGCAGCCAUCUGUACCUGGAAACUGCUUCUUUGGGGGAGCGAUUCCCUUGCUUCUGGAUUGCUUCAAUGAGCCCUAACGAUGCUGAUUGGCUGACUGAGCGCUGCGGUUCUGGACACGUUUGCAGCUCAGUGGGUUUUAAGGAUUGUUGGGACUCCUCUAAUCGGUGGUGUGAGGCCUGUGGAGCAGCUAAUGGAACAUCACGACUAUGCUGACUUCCCCAGGGUAUUACGGUCAUUUCUGUUUCACCAGCAGAUCUGGGUGGCAGCAGAGAGCUGCAGCGCUCCCGAGUGCUGUAAGGACUGCACGGAGAGACGUGCGGGUCUUCACGGGAACAGCCAGGAACCGAAAGCUGCAUUUCCCGGGAUGCCCUGGAGCUCCACUUUGCUGACUGGUAAUUGUCUGCCCAGCAGGUGGCAGCAGAGAGCUGCAGCGCUCCCGAGUGCUGUAAGGACUGCACGGAGAGAUGUGCGGGUCUUCACGGGAACAGCCAGGAACCGAAAGCUGCAUUUCCCGGGAUGCCCUGGAGCUCCACUUUGCUGACUGGUAAUUGUCUGCCAGCAGGCAGGUCUUCAAUGAAGAUAUUGGACAGAACAGGCCUGAAGAGCACUCAGGAUGGCAUACCAGCUGCAUUUAACACGAUGGAGCAGCACUCAUUAGGCCAGGCGGUUCAGCUAGUUCUUCAUCUAGCAAGCAGCGUACCCGUCCAAGUAGCCGGCUGCAAUCUUUCAGAGAAUUUUGAGGGAUAGCACAUCAAAGGCUUUGCCUCACUCAGGGGGUUGGGUCACCUUCGCUUUGAGAUUGCUAGCGUGGCUGACCCUAAUCCCGUAACUGACAUCCCGUAGCUGGACAGGGACCAUUCGCACUCCAUCCAGGCUGUUUGAGACUCACGGCCAUGCUGAGAGUCACACUGAUUUCAGCGCGUGCAGUCAUUUUGCAUCAACCCCGUAACCAACGCCCGAGGCCUUUGGAGCCCAUUUGCGCUCCUUCCCGGCCAGUCUGAGACUCGCGCCCCUUUGCGGCCAUUCUGAGAGUUGUGCCGAUUUUGGCAGGUGCAGUCAAUUGAUCUUGCCCAAAUUGGCUUUAGCUUUGCAAUCAAUUGAUCCCAACCCCGUAACCAACAGAGCCCAUUUGCGCUCCUUCCCGGCCUGUCUGAGGCUUGCAUUUACUUCAGGUGGGCUGAGAUGUGCUCUGCUCUUGAGGUGGGUUGCAGUACACAAUAUUAGUGUAAAUGUAAUGUUAUUUAUUGGAUAUGGAGGCUUUGUGACCUUUGUCUUGUGAAUCGGACAUAUGUGUUAUAUGUAAACCAUGCCUUAAAAUGUAUGGAGUGCGCGGGUGCUGCGCCUGUAAACGGUGUCUUGCAAUUGUAUGGAAUCAGUGUAUUCAUGUUUUGUUUGUCAACAUGUAGGCAUUGCUGUAGUGUGCAUACAAUUGUAUGAGUCAUGUCUUGAGGAAACAGUGCUGUAAUGAACAAAUACUUGUGCAAU
rnacentral:lncRNA from 7 species